GUUCACAUUGGCAGCACAUAUAUGAAAAUCAUAACAAUGCACAGAAGAUUAGCAUGGCCCUUCUGCAAGGAUGACACUCAAAUUUGUGAAGCGUUCCAUACUUUU